UUGUUUUCUUUCAUGUAUGAAAUAGCUUGGUACAGAUGGAUUGAUGUUGUUAUACACCAACAAUUUUGUCAAUUUGUUCUUUUCUCUAUGUUUGAUACAACACUUCACCAAUGUUCUUUUUCUCUCUUUCUUCUCUUCCUAGUUACACAAUUAAUCCAUAACAGAGUACAGUACUUUUUUGAAGUAGAACAAAGGGAUUGAUAUUGGUUUGAUCAAAGUAUGUUCUUCCUUUAUAUCUUCUGCAGGAUAUAUAAAGAGUUGGUCUCCAUUAUUCAUGGCGUGAUAGCGUAAUGGUUGAAAGGCAACCCAAGGGAGUUGAUUCUCAUGAUGAUUUUCUUCCAAGAAUAAAUGGAGCUUCAUCAUAUUGCUUCCCUGAUUUUCUUUUCCUUGUAGGCUGUUGAGAUGAAUAUUCUCUGUUAUGAGUGAUAGACUAUUCUUCGUUGAUCUUCUAUAGAGAUUGAUUGAUCUUCUGGACAGAUUGAUUGAUCCCUUCCGUAAAUAAUUGAAUCGAAUAUCCGUUUUCCAUAAAGCUCGCAGUCACAACAAAUAUAUUCCUUGACUCCUGCCUCUGGAUCUUGAUUUGCACGUGUGAUUUUUGAUUCUUGCUUUCAGAUUUUUUUAUAGAAUCUUUUCCAAUUCCUGUGACACCUCUUUUGGGAUUGGUUUUCUGCCAUUAGAUCAAGUUGUUAUCUAUCAUUGAAACAUAUAUCUAACAAGUUAAAGAAAAAUAUAAGACGAUACCCAAAAAGGUCUAAAAUUAGGAUAAUGAUAAUUAGCAGGUAGCUGCCAGUUUGCUAGUUGAUAUAGG
rnacentral:lncRNA from 1 species